AAUGGGGGAAACCCUGAUGCAGCAACGCCGCGUGAGCGAUGAAGGCCUUCGGGUUGUAAAGCUCUGUCUUCAGGGACGAUAAUGACGGUACCUGAGGAGGAAGCCACGGCUAACUACGUGCCAGCAGCCGCGGUAAUACGUAGGGGGCUAGCGUUAUNCGGAUUUACUGGGCGUAAGGGUGCGUAGGUGGUUUUNUAAGUNAGGAGUGAAAGGCUACGGCUCAACCGUAGUAAGCUCUUGAAACUGGAAAACUUGAGUGCAUGAGAGGAAAGUGGAAUUCCUAGUGUAGCGGUGAAAUGCGUAGAUAUUAGGAGGAACACCAGUAGCGAAGGCGGCUUUCUGGACUGUAACUGACACUGAGGCACGAAAGCGUGGGGAGCAAA
rnacentral:rRNA from 1 species